rnacentral:misc_RNA from 1 species
GUUAGGGGAAAAAUUUUCUCAACCACCUGUGGAAGAUAUGUACUAUGCUAAAACAAGAAGCAUGUUGAAUAACCUUGGCCUACAAAGUUAUGAGAAGAAUUUCAAGAAAGGCUUAUUGACUGAUACCACUUUGCCUCUGCUCACUGAUAGUGCGCUUAGAGAUGUCAAAAUUCCCCCAGGACCAAGGCUACUCAUUCUGGAUCACAUUCAGAGGAACCCAGAGCUAAGAGGGAGAUGAAGCUGAUUUGAAGGGAGCAUCUUGCCCAGUUUAUUUGCAAACCCAAGUGUCCCCAAUCUUUCUAGUUGAAAUUGAGUUGGUAGGGGAAAUACCAGGUCAUCUUAAUUAGGAAGAAUGUGUAAUAAAUAGGGCUGUUGUACUUGUGAGAAGUUGAUUUUGUCAUUUGAAUUUGCACUAAGUUCGAUUUUUAAUGCACCUUUUUGUUUUAUUGCGGAGUGCGG